AUGGGUUGGCUACUUCAUUCAGUGAAUACUGAAUGUCUUGCUAUCUCUGGGAGUAUGUUAAUGACAGCUUUUCAGCUGUUGAACUAUGCCAAUGUCGAACUAAUUUCUAAAUCUCUUUCUUUUAGUCAAGAAGAUGUGAUGAGCCAGAUCAACCACUCAGCUUCAAUGCAGCUGUUCAACCCACCACUCCCACUGCUCUCCCUCCACAAUGUUGUUGCUCUCUCCAUGUCACCGGUGGAUGACACGUUUAUCUUGGGAUCAUUGGAUAUGACCAUACGACUCUGGGACCUGCACUCUCCCAACUGUCAGGGCUACAACAACAUUUCACUCGAGGCCUGCUGCUUCACCCCAGACUCAACGUUUGUCAUGAUUGGCGUCUUGGCUUCCCAGUGUAGGAGACUGCUAAAGGAGUGGGGCCACAGAGAAACUGUCAUCAUCAUUACCCAGCAUGCCUUUCUCCUUUCAUGUUGCUCUGAGUAUGCAAAUGCUUAA
rnacentral:lncRNA from 1 species